AGAGUUUGAUCCUGGCUCAGAAUGAACGCUGGCGGCGUGCUUAACACAUGCAAGUCGAACGGGAAACCUUUUAAUGAAGCUUCGGCAGAUUUAGCUGGUUUCUAGUGGCGGACGGGUGAGUAACGCGUGGGUAACCUGCCCCAUACAGGGGGAUAACAACCAGAAAUGGUUGCUAAUACCGCAUAAGCGCACAGGACCGCAUGGUCCGGUGUGAAAAACUCCGGUGGUAUAGGAUGGACCCGCGUUGGAUUAGCCAGUUGGCAGGGUAACGGCCUACCAAAGCGACGAUCCAUAGCCGGCCUGAGAGGGUGAACGGCCACAUUGGGACUGAGACACGGCCCAGACUCCUACGGGAGGCAGCAGUGGGGAAUAUUGCACAAUGGGGGAAACCCUGAUGCAGCGACGCCGCGUGAAGGAAGAAGUAUCUCGGUAUGUAAACUUCUAUCAGCAGGGAAGAUAGUGACGGUACCUGACUAAGAAGCCCCGGCUAACUACGUGCCAGCAGCCGCGGU
rnacentral:rRNA from 1 species